GGCGCGAAAACUUUACAAUGCUGGCAACAGCGAUAAGGGAACCUCGAGUGCCAGGUUACAAAUCUGGCUGUCGAGAUGCCUAAAAAGCAUUUCAUAGCAAGGGCCGGGCAAGACCGGUGCCAGCCGCCGCGGUAACACCGGCGGCUCGAGUGGUAACCGUUAUUAUUGGGUCUAAAGGGUCUGUAGCCGGCCGGAUAAGUCUCUUGAGAAAUCUGGCAGCUUAACUGUCAGGCUUUCAGGAGAUACUGUCUGGCUCGAGGCCGGGAGAGGUGAGAGGUACUUCAGGGGUAGGGGUGAAAUCUUGUAAUCCUUGAAGGACCACCAGUGGCGAAGGCGUCUCACCAGAACGGACCUGACGGCAAGGGACGAAAGCUAGGGGCACGAACCGGAUUAGAAACCCUGGUAGUCC
rnacentral:rRNA from 1 species